UGGAUGUGCACGGCAGAGUUGUUGACAAAUACAUAUCCAACACAUGGGCUAGUCCAGCAUCCAGAUUGGAGCUGUAAAUACAAUCAAGAUGGUCAAAUAGCAGAGUUGUGAGUUUGGCACUGAUGAUCAACACAUACUGUAUUUGGAUUAAAAUGUCAAGAAGACAGGUGUUCGAAACUGAACGCUGGGGAGAGACCCUGACCUUUACGAUGGCGGGAGAGGAGAUAAAUCAGAAAGCAGCCUCUUCCAACGUUGUUUUAGAGAAUUUGGCAGUACGUCCAACUG